AGAUAAUUUUUGUUCAUACUAGAUAAAAUUUACCACAGCACGACAUGCUCUGUCUGCCGUCAUAAUCUUACAAUCAUUGAUUUCACAAACUCUUCGUUGAGAAAAGAGAAGAAAAUUUAUUUUGUUUUCUCCAAAUCUCUGGAGAAAAGGCUCUGCUUCCCUUUACUAACCAGUGUAGUUAGUCAACUUAAAACCAGGCUUAGUUCCUUUUGUCUUUGCUCUGCAUACAUUUUCAUGCAAUCAAUGAAUUUCAUCCCUUUUUAUCAUGGUUUGAACAACAUUGACGAAUGAAUUAAUAAUUAAUUCAUGUGAUAUAUGAAAGUUAUCAGAAGAAAAAGUAGGGUCUUUCACUUCGAAAACCCUAUUUGACCAAGCUGUUCGUCUGGGAAAGGUGAAAGUCUGUUGGAAGUCGAAGACAGCCUUCAAGAAAUGCGACUAAUUGUUGGAAAGGACGAGCAACUGAAGACAUGACACGGUUGAGAUAUUUUAGCCAUGUUUGAAAGCGGCAGGUUAAAUACAGAAAAAUCGUCGAUGACAUAAAGAUCAUAUUCAAAGCAUCGUUAUGAGUCCUAUUUGUUCGAAGGAAUGAUCGAUUUCUUUGGUUUCUUAGUAUUUCUAUGUUUCGAUCUUGGAGCACAAAAAUGCCGUCAAGUUUCAGUUACAUAUUGAAGUGAGAACACGAACGAAACUGCCAAAA